GAUGAACGCUGGCGGCGUGCCUAAUACAUGCAAGUCGAGCGAACGGACGAGAAGCUUGCUUCUCUGAUGUUAGCGGCGGACGGGUGAGUAACACGUGGAUAACCUACCUAUAAGACUGGGCUAACUUCGGGAAACCGUAGCUAAUACCGGAUAAUAUUUUGAACCGCAUGGUUCAAAAGUGAAAGACGGUCUUGCUGUCACUUAUAGAUGGAUCCGCGCUGCAUUAGCUAGUUGGUAAGGUAACGGCUUACCAAGGCAACGAUGCAUAGCCGACCUGAGAGGGUGAUCGGCCACACUGGAACUGAGACACGGUCCAGACUCCUACGGGAGGCAGCAGUAGGGAAUCUUCCGCAAUGGGCGAAAGCCUGACGGAGCAACGCCGCGUGAGUGAUGAAGGUCUUCGGAUCGUAAAACUCUGUUAUUAGGGAAGAACAUAUGUGUAAGUAACUGUGCACAUCUUGACGGUACCUAAUCAGAAAGCCACGGCUAACUACGUG
rnacentral:rRNA from 1 species